rnacentral:tRNA from 1 species
GCGUUGGCUGGGCAUUGGCGAGCCCCGGUGGCUGUAACCCACCCGCUGUUAAGCUGUGGCGGUUCGACUCCGUCCCGACGCA